AUUGAACGCUGGCGGCAGGCCUAACACAUGCAAGUCGAGCGGAGCGGCGGACGGGUGAGUAAUGCCUAGGAAUCUGCCUGGUAGUGGGGGAUAACGUCCGGAAACGGACGCUAAUACCGCAUACUAUCAGAUUAGCCUAGGCCGAAUUGGCUAGUUGGUGGGGUAAAGGCAUACCAAGGCGACGACCCGUAACUGGUCUGAGAGGAUGAUCAGCCACACUGGAACUGAGACACGGUCCAGACUCCUACGGGAGGCAGCAGUGGGGAAUAUUGGACAAUGGGCGAAAGCCUGAUCCAGCCAUGCCGCGUGUGUGAAGAAGGUCUUCGGGUUGUAAAGCACUUUAAGUUGGGAGGCGUUACCAACAGAAUAAGCACCGGCUAACUUCGUGCCAGCAGCCGCGGUAAUUC
rnacentral:rRNA from 1 species